rnacentral:rRNA from 1 species
CUACGGGAGGCAGCAGUGGGGAAUCUUGCGCAAUGGGCGAAAGCCUGACGCAGCAACGCCGCGUGCGGGAUGAAGGCCUUCGGGUUGUAAACCGCUUUCAGCAGGGACGAAGUUGACGGUACCUGCAGAAGAAGCCCCGGCCAACUACGUGCCAGCAGCCGCGGUAACACGUAGGGGGCGAGCGUUGUCCGGAUUUAUUGGGCGUAAAGAGCUCGUAGGCGGUUCUGUCAGUCGGGUGUGAAAACUCUGGGCUCAACCCAGAGACGCCACUCGAUACUGCAGUGACUGGAGUCCGGUAGGGGAGUGUGGAAUUCCUGGUGUAGCGGUGAAAUGCGCAGAUAUCAGGAGGAACACCGACAGCGAAGGCAGCACUCUGGGCCGGUACUGACGCUGAGGAGCGAAAGCGUGGGGAGCGAACAGGAUUAGAUACCCUAGUAGUCC